ACUGUUAGGUUGAAUGGGAUAUAUGGUAUCAGUUAGUUGGUGGGGUAAAGGCCUACCAAGACAAUGACGCCUAGCUGGUCUGAGAGGAUGAUCAGCCACACUGGAACUGAGACACGGUCCAGACUCCUACGGGAGGCAGCAGUGGGGAAUAUUUGCACAAUGGGGGAAACCCUGAUGCAGCAACGCCGCGUGGAGGAAGAAACCCUUAGGGGCGUAAACUCCUUUUAUCAAGGAAGAAGAUGACGGUACUUGAUGAAUAAGCACCGGCUAACUCCGUGCCAGCAGCCGCGGUAAUACGGAGGGUUGCAAGCGUUACUCGGAAUCACUGGGCGUAAAGCGCAUGUAGGCGGUUAAUUAAGUUAGAAGUGAAAGCCCACAGUUAACUGUGGAACAGUUCUAAAAUGAUUAAUAGAGUCUGGGAGAGGAAGAUGGAAUUAGUAGUGUAGGGGUAAAAUCCGUAGAGAUUACUAGGAAUACCGAAAGCGAAGGCGAUCUUCUGGAACAGUACUGACGCUGAGAUGCGAAAGCGUGGGGAGCAAACAGGAUUAGAUACCCUGGUAGUCCACGCCCUAAACGAUGAAUGUAGUCGUUGGAGUGCUAGCCACUUCAGUGAUGCAGCUAACGCAUUAAACAUUCCGCCUGGGGAGUACGGCCGCAAGGUUAAAACUCAAGGAAUAGACGGGGACCCGCACAAGUGGUGGAGCAUGUGGUUUAAUUCGAAGAUACGGCGAAGACCUUACCUGGCUUGACUAUACCAGAACCUGGCCAAGAAGAUUGGGUGGGGGGUGGCCUUCCGGGGGAACCUGGGGUAUACACAGGGUGGCUUGGCACCGGGGUUGGGCCGGCCAAGCUCCGGUGGUCCGUGGAGAAUGGUUGGGGGUUAAAGGUCCCGGGAAAGGAGGGAAACCCUUGGGGACCUAGGUUUACUUAACAAGGCUUAAAGGGUGGGGAGACUCCUAAGUGUCCAAGAUUGGGGCCUUUCGGGAAAGGGGGGAGACACUGGGGGGGCACAGACGUGGUCCAAGGUGCUUCCUUGGGGGCCCUUUAAGGGGCCAGGGGGAGAACACAC
rnacentral:rRNA from 1 species